rnacentral:rRNA from 1 species
GUGCCAGCAGCCGCGGUAAUACAGAGGUCUCAAGCGUUGUUCGGAAUCACUGGGCGUAAAGGGUGCGUAGGCGGCGUGGUAAGUCAGAUGUGAAAGGCAGGGGCUCAACCUCUGGAUUGCAUCCGAUACUGCCAUGCUAGAGUACUGGAGAGGUGUCUAGAAUUCUCGGUGUAGCAGUGAAAUGCGUAGAUAUCGAGAGGAAUACCAAUGGCGAAGGCAGGACACUGGACAGUAACUGACGCUGAGGCACGAAGGCUAGGGUAGCGAACGGGAUUAGAUACCCCGGUAGUCCUAGCAGUAAACGGUGCACGUUUGGUGUGGGGGGAAUCGACCCCUUCCGCGCCGGAGCUAACGCGUUAAGCGUGCCGCCUGGGAAGUACGAUCGCAAGAUUAAA